GAGGAGCUUGCUCUUCAUGAGAGUGGCGCACGGGUGCGUAACACGUAUGUAACCUACCCUUGUCAGGGGGAUAGCCUCUCGAAAGAGAGAUUAAGCCCGCAUAACACUAUACCAUGGCAUCAUGGAAUAAUCAAAUAUUUAUAGGACAAGGAUGGGCAUGCGGAACAUUAGCUAGUUGGUAAGGUAACAGCUUACCAAGGCUACGAUGUUUAGGGGAUCUGAGAGGAUGGCCCCCCACACUGGUACUGAGACACGGACCAGACUCCUACGGGAGGCAGCAGUAAGGAAUAUUGGUCAAUGGGCGCAAGCCUGAACCAGCCAUGCCGCGUGCAGGAAGACGGCCCUACGGGUUGUAAACUGCUUUUGCAGGGGAAUAAACCUCAUUACGUGUAAUGAGUUGAAUGUACUCUGAGAAUAAGGAUCGGCUAACUCCGUGCCAG
rnacentral:rRNA from 1 species